CGGCCCCGGCGGGCAGCGCGCUGCGGGAGAACGGGGUCGGGCCGGCCGUGCCCCCCGGCCUGGGCACCGCUGAGCAAAGGGACACUCAGAGCUUCGAGACUCACAUACAAGAAACAAAUUGAAUCUCACAAGCUGACGUUCCGUGAGAAGGCCAAGGCUCGCACAGACCACGGAGCUGAAAUCGUCGUCUCCAAACCCCCCAACCUUUCCAGCAGCACCUCCCCCCGGCGCAGCACCUCUGCCAGCGAGAGCCUGGGCUCCGGCGCCUCCCCGUCACCGCUGCCACGGCCGGCUGGCCCCGCCGCGCCCUCCCAGCAAGGCUUGUGACCCCCCGGCCCCGCUCCACCGCCCCGAGGACCCAGCUUGGCUCUCUUGACCCGGCCUCUGGCUUUAGGUGGGAAGGGACAGCGUUCCGCAGGGCCGGGGCCGCUCCUGCUCCCCGGGGCGUCCCGGGGGCUCGGCCCUGCCCGGGCUCGGGGGUCCCUCCGUGGCUGGAAAGGGGUUUCCCUCCCUCUCCGUGCCCCGUCCCGUUGGCUUUGGGGGGUCACUCCAGCGGUGGUGUCGCGUCGGGGCCGGGGUCGAGCGGCUCCAGGGCCGUUCCAGUGUAGGGAUGUGCCGGGGGCUGAAGCCAGGCCAGAGUUAACAGGGAUAAGCUGUGAUCUUUCUUUCUGUCUCUUUUUUUUACCCCCUUUCCCUCCUCACCGCUUCAGUUGGAUGCUGAUAUAAACCCUCCACACUCGUUAGGCUGUUUUAACUGUUGACUUGAACCUUUUAUUCUUUGUGACGACGUGUUGAUGAUUUAUUGUGCUACGAGCCCCGUGCUAAGUUUCCUUUUCUCUUUCCUUCCUUCCCACCCCGUAGGAGAGUAGGGACAUUAACCGCUGCUGCCGUGCUGGCUUCUUACUGACAUAUCCAGCCAUUGUAACUUCCUUGUUGUUGUUUGGGGUUUCUUUCAAUAUUUCGAACCGAUGGAGCGAGUUCAUGGGAUUUAAGCCAUGUCUGGAACGAGAGGCACAGGGAUGUGUUAAAGGCGAACUUGCUGUGAGAGCUCAGGUGGAGCCUGUGUUGACCUCUAGGAGAUGCUCAUAGACCCUCCCCCGGGGGGUGCCCGGGGCCUCCUGCGUGUCAGCGAGGGAAAGGUGGUUUAUUUAUUCACUGGCACGGCCGGAGCCCUGGGAUUCAUCCCGGUUUUCCAGGGCCGAGGGCUGCGGGGAGGCAGGAGGCUGCCGUGGCUGGUUGAGGCAGGCCGGGAGUCCGAGGCUGAAGCAGGUCCUGGGGUGUGAGGGAUGUGUGUGUGUGUGGGUGUGUGUGUGGUUUUAGCGAGGCUGAUGGAUGGGGACCGUCGGGAUGAGCAGGAAAGGGCAGUGCCCGUCCCGGGAUGGGCAGCGAGCCGGGAGCCCUGGGCUGGGCAGCGGGGCAGGGUUAGUGCCAGGGAGUUGCAGCUCUGACUAGGAAGGAGAUUUUUCCCACUCUUGGAGCUCCUCGUUUCGUGUUGCAAAUGACACUAAAGAAAUGAAAUGUAAAUAAAUUAAAACAGGAAAGAAAAAAAAAAGUGUUCUUGGGUGGUCAAACUAAUUUAAAGAGAAAAAAAAAAAACAAAGAAAAGCGGAAUAGCAAAACACUGGGAUCAAAGAGAACUGAACCAGGCUGUGCUAAGGGGGGGCUGCUCCAGGAGGGGACAGAGGGAAGCCUGCAGCUUCUCAUGCUUGUGGGAAUAUUUCUUUGGGAAGCCGACAAUGACACGAUAACCCGGAAUCUGUAUUUACACACAAAGAUUCUUAUUGCACUUGUAUUUUUUAUAUUAAAGUUUGCAUGAUUUCUAAUAAAAUGGCAUUAAAAUGUACUAGUUUGCAUCAAAGUCGUCUGGUAGUUUCAUAAGUGCUUUUUGCUCUGAAUACAAAUUGAAACAAUGCAGAUUUGCACCUGAAAGGGGCGGUUAUAUAUACCCUGGAGCCCUCCCAGUGCUUCCUUCCCUUCCUCUUCCUCCACUUCUUCCUCUUCCUUCUCCUCUUCCUCCUCCUCCUCCUCCUCCUCCUCCUCCCCCUCCUCCCCAUCUCUCCGCUCCCUCUGUGCCGAAUCCCUUUGAUCCCAAACAGGGAACGUGCCAUCGCUCCCUGCCCUCCUGUUGUCUGUGUGUGCUCCCAGCGUUCCCAGCACUGAUCCCAGCCCUGGCUCCGCAAGGAGAAGCUGGAGCUGGGGCCGGGACCCCGUUUCUCCGGCCCCGAGCCGGUGCUGCCUGUCCCCCGUGUCCCACCCCGGUAUAUAUCACUGCCCUCCCGCUGGCGCUUCCUUCUUUCUCUUACUGCUAAAUUCUAAACACCAGCUUCAGCUUGUCAGUCUUGGCUUUGGUUUGGUUUCUUUUUUUCCAACACUUGAAUCCAGGGGAAGUUUGGAGGAGAGGGACUGAGGAGAGGAGAGGAGCAGGCCGAGCCCCUGGGCAGGACGGGGCAGGGGCCGUGUGUUUCCCAAGCAAUAACGUCCGUGUGCUCCGGGCCGGGGCUGGCAGGGGCUGGUGUGAGGGUCCUGGGCCUGCACGGUGAGCCUGGAGCCUGGUUUCCCUGCCUGGAUCCCGGCUUCCCUGCCUGGAGCCUGGUUUCCCUGCUUGUGACCCACCAACACGGGCUGGGAAGGGCUGGAGCCGCCCUCCAGGCUCACCGAGCUGGCAGCAGGGUUUGUGCCGAUGGGCAGCGGCCGGAGAUGCUCGUGGGUAACCAAAGAGGAGGUGGAGGCUGAGAUGUCGUGUCCCUCUUGCUGCUCUGCCCGGGGCACCCCGGGAGGAGGUUCCCUGAGUGCCCCGGGAUGAGAUUCCCGGGCGGAGGGAGGCAGCCGGGUCCCGGCCGUGGUUCAGGUGCUGCAGGAGGAAGGCAGGUGGCAACAUUGCACUUUAUCUUCUGAGAUUGCAAAAAACAAACAGCAAACGAGCCCCCGUCCCCUGCGAAGGGACAGCGACAUCACCUCUCCCCUGCACUGCUUUUAUCCCAUUUCCCGACUGCCGGGCAGCCCUGGAUGAGGAUUUGGCACCCAGGCCUGUCCCUGCCCGACACAGCCCCCGGCCCAGCUGCCCCCACCGGCCUGUGCUUCUGUGCCACUUCUCUAACACUUGUUGUGCCUGUGUUUAGCUGACGAACUAAAUCCGGAUACAUUAGUUUGCUGUGGUGUUUCUAGGACAGCUUCAGUUUUAAUAUGGAUUUCUUUUUUUGUAUUUUCUCUUGAGGAAGCGGCUGUACAUAUUGCUGGGAAGGAGCCGUGUGUGCUGGAAAUGGCUUUUCCUUUCUGGAGAGGUGGGAUGAGCUGGGUGGUGCAGAGACCUGCAGAGACGCUGCCGGGUGGGAGGGGGCCGGCAGCUCCACCGAGGGCUGGAGGCAGCAAAUUUGGGAAAAAAUAGGAGUUGUGGUCUGAAUUAGAUGCAAGUUGAAUGUACACGUUCCUGUCCUGAGCUGGCGCUGGGGGGUCCUGGCUUUGCAGGGGUGGCUGAGCUGAGCUGGGCUCAGGCUGGGCUGGAGGCUCAGCAAAGCCCUUCCCAGAGCUCAGGAUGAGGGUUUGGAGGUGUCUGAGCUGCUGAAGGGAUGGGGAGGGAGCAGGGCCGGGUGGGAGCUCCAUCCCAGCUGGGGUCCCUCCAGGCAGGAGCCUCCCCCCUUUCCGGAGCCUGGUGUCUCCCUGCAUAUCAGUGGCAUAUACAGUUACUUCGGGCUUUUUAUACUGUUAAACAAGUACAUUCAAGUAACAAGUUUGUGGGCUUGAGGCCACGGGAGCGGCGGCUCCGCUGCUGCCCCGGGCCGUGGCUCCCGUGGGUCGGGUCCUGACCGCAAACUGAAUGUAGUUUUCUACGCUGACCCCCGGUGUUGUCCCCGCGUAGUGUCGGUGCGAGGGGGGCUCUGGGACCCCCCCGCGUUUGCGUCGUUUAGGCAGAAUUUCUAGUUUUCUUGGAGCUUGGUGGCAGUGACACCCUCGGGGGGACGGGGCGUCCCCGAGGGAAGGGCCGAGCCCCGGGAGCCGCUCCCGGCUGUCCAAAGGCAGGAGCUGGGGGGCCCGGCGGCCUCCGGGCUUGGGAGGAAUGUCCCCCCCGAGCCCUCCCGGCCCCGGGACCCUGCGGGUGGGGCGGGAAACGGCUCCGGGAGGCAGCAGUGGGAAUGCCCGGGCUCUCCUUCCUCCUCCCCACUGAACUCCGGCCGGGUGAGCGUUUCCCCCUCCCUCCCCCGAGUCUCGGCGGCCGCCGGCCGGUGUCUGGGGCAGGAUCAGACACGAGCCUCCAUCGCGUGCUCGUCCCACCUUCGGCAUCACCUGCAGCUUCCAUUGCCCGCACCGUAGGAACACCGACCGGGACCGAGGGGGGUCGGACACGGGACGGGGUGAGCAGAGCCCAGCCCGGAGGGUGGUCCCGGCUCCGGGCUCCCUCCUCGGUCCCGGGAAGCCACUAAACCUCUCUGCCUCAGCUCCCCCCUCGCGGGGGUGACACUCUUUACCUCACCGGGCUGUCGUGAGGCGUGAGCAGCGUGUGACGUGUUCUCAGUGUGACGUGUUCCUGUUGUUUGUGUCAUAGGGUUGUUUGCGGGGCUGUCCCCGGGCAGGGGGAGGUCAGUGCUUGGUGUGAGACCACAGCUCCGGGGGGUGGGCUGGGGCAGAGCCCCCCUGCCUGGGGGGACCCACCCGUUUGGUUCUGCCUUUGUGUCUCACCCUCCCCGAGGGGCUGUAAGACCGUCGUCUCCUUAGCAACAUUUCCUGACUUGAUGUUGUGAUUCUUACUAUUGUAAAGGGUUGAAAUAAAGCUUCUAGAUGUUC